rnacentral:piRNA from 1 species
UGAUGUUGCUGAGCUUGGAGCUU